UCAACUUCUCAUUCAUAAUACCGGUAAAUAUGCUGUCCACAGCCAUGUCAAGUUCAACAGAAGGAAUGUGAAAUAAAAUCUUGUGAAUUACAUCUAUAAAUGAGAAACUCUCUCUCUCUCUCUCUCUCUCUCUGUGGUGUUUGAGGGUGUGUACACAGUACAUGUCAUGUGUGUGUAAUAAAUAUUAUUGUCUAUUUAAAUUGAUAUUUGUCAUGUAAGUUUCAACUAAAGUUGAGAAUAAUUAAUUUCUCUCUCUCUCCUUCUCUCUCUCUCUCUUAGAAAAUACGUAUUUAUUGAGACCCUGAUGAGACAUAAUAUUUGUCUUGUAAAUUAUUAUAAUAAUGCACUUACAUCUGAAGUUGGGAAUGAAUAUAUUUCAUAAUUCUGGGGAAAUAUAAAUGUACUGCAAGAGAUAUAAACAGUAUGAAAUGUAAUCUCAUGAAGUCUUCGUGUGCAAAACUGUGUAAAUUUCCCUAUUGUUUACUGUGAGACAGGUGUUUGUACUAGGUGACCUUUGUGGCCAACACAUCGUAAAUAUUUCAGCUUGGGUAUUACACAAUCUCUGAAUGGUACAAUUCUACACAGGUUGUUUGAAAUCUGCAGAAAAUCAGUCGUAAUAUGGGUGGCUAAAAAGAUAAACAGCAGCAUAGAGUAUGUGCAUGUUCAUGUUGAACAGAUAUUACGAUGUUGUGAAUAAAGACUGCCACUUAUAUUAAGAUUUAAGCAGAUGACUAGUACAUGUAGAUUUUAUUGUUUGCAUAAAUAAAUAACCCAGUUAUAAUAGUUAUUUUCACGAAUAAACAAAUAUUAAAUUCAAAAUGGCGGCAAAUAUGGCGGCCGCCGGCCUCCGAUGUCCGUUUUGUUGAUACUAAGAUAAAUUCAAAAUUUUAACACCAACUGGUAUUUAUAUUUUUAAUUUAAGGUUGAAAUUACACAAUUAGGUUUAUUUGCAUUUAAAAUAAAUUAAUAAUGAAUUAUUUAUUUAUUUUUUUUCGAUCACGUGACGUUUUUGAGUUCUAUGAUUGGUCAAUAACAGAGCGCGGAUUUUUCCAUGGACGAUUUGAAUGUUUGGAUGUUGAAAGUGUUGAUAGAAAAAAAGGAGAUAAAACCAGUUGCAGAAUAUUGGUACAUGAUGUUUCCAUGAGCUGAAUCUGUCCUGCCCUGGAGUACAUGAAAUUCUUCACAAUAUUACUUGUUUAAGAAUUGAAGAAAAGGUUAAAAUUGCAAGCAUAUUUCAACGAAAACUUAGCCGACUACCAGUCACACUGCCCACCAGCCAAGACGUCUGACCAGCUAAAAUGAGGGACGCAGUCCACCAGCCAAGUCCCUCGGCCAGCUCGGCUGACCCAGUGCGGCCUGUCAAGGGAUGACCAAGUCCAUCAACUAGCUCGGCUGACUACCAGUGCAGCCUGUCAAGUCCUUCAACUAACUUGGCCUAUUACCAGUGUGGCCUGUCAUUGAACAACCAAGUCCAUCAACUAGAUUGGCUUACUACCAGAGCGGCUUUUCAAGGGAUGGUCAAGUCCGUCAACUAACUUAACCUACUACCAGUGCCGCAUGUCAAGAGAUGGCCAAGUUCGUCAACUAGCUCGGCUUACUACCAGUACGGCCUGUCAAUAUAGGGAUGGUUAAGACCAUUGACUAACUUGGCCUUCUACCAGUGCGGCUUGUCAAGGGACGUUUAAGUCCGUCAACUAACUUGACCAACUACAGAUGCGACCUGUCAAGGGAUGGCCAAGUCUGUCAACUAUCUUGACCAACUACCAGUGCGGCCUGUCAAACGAUGGCCAAGUCCUUCAACUAACUUGGCCUACUACCAGUGUGGCCUGUCAAACGAUGGCCAAGUCCUUCAACUAACUUGGCCUACUACCAGUGUGGCCUGUCAAACGAUGGCUAAGUCUGUCAGCUAACUUGGUCUACUACCAGUGCGGCCUGUCAAACGAUGGCCAAGUCCUUCAACUAACUUGGUCUACUACCAGUGCAGCCUGUCAAAUGAUGGCUAAGUCUGUCAGCUAACUCAGCCAACUUUCAGUGCAGCCUAUCUUCAAAUAAUAAAGAUAAACAACUGUACACCUGCAAGGAUACCUGUGCAAGGAGGGUGGUAUGCAGCUAGAAACUGUGACUGAAAUCGCUGUUUAUAGAAACUUUCUUUUUUUUUUUUGAAAUACAGCUAGAUCAAAAAUAAAUAGGGUGUUAAUAUUUAAAAAUUAGUGAUGUCUGUUUAUACAAUUAGCAAGAGUAGAAUGCAGUUUGCUAGGUAAUUUUACAAAGACCCUAAUUGCUAUAUGUUAAAAAUGUAUUCUUUAAAACAACCAGAGAAAUUUCAAUCUGUUGUAGAUGACAUGAUGUAAAAUAAGGUACACUUGAAUUUUUAAAACAAUUGCAUGUGCAUUCAUUUAGUUGUAUUUGACAAUAAACCAAGCUAUCUUUAUCGUGUUUGUUAGGUAAAAUUGUUAUUGCCUUUAAUAUGUUUUAAAUAAUCUUUUUUGUAUAAAUUUCAAAAAUCUUUUUUUUUUUUUUUUUUAAAUUUUAAUGAGUAGCUUUUUAAAAGCUUAUAACUGAGUAAAUCCACAACAGGUUAACAGUGUAUAAUUUCACUGGAACUUUUACGAAAGUUUUUAUUAAUAGGUAUAAUUUUUUAUAGUUAUAACUUUUUGCAGUUAUAACUUUUUUUAGGUAUAACUUUUCUAUAACUUUUUCAUAACUUUCUUGGGGUAUAACUUUUUUGUAACUUUUUCAUAACUUUAUAAUAGGUAUAACUUUUUUUAGUUAUAACUUUUCCUGGGUAUAACUUUUUCCGGGUAUAACUUUUUUGUAACUUUUUCAUAACUUUUUUGUGGUAUAACUUUUUUGUAACUUUUCCACUGUUUAUUUGGGUAUAACUAAAGUAUAACUUUGUAACUAUUUUAUAACUUUUUGUGUAACUUUUAAUAAGUAUAACUUUUUGUAGUUAUAACUUUUUUAUAACUUUUAUGUACUUGCUGUAUUUAUGUUCAAUAAAAGGUGAAAAGUUAUGAAAAAGUUAUAACUUUUUUGUAACUAAGUUAUAACUAAAUUAUACCUCACUUAAAACAUGCCAUUCCAAACUCCGAUAACUUAGUUAUAACUUUUUUGUAACUUUUUUUAGUUACAAAAGUUAUAACUAAGUUAUAACUUUUUUCGGUAUGGGUUGGUACAUCUUG